AGCAGCGAGCUGGAUUGCCACCCCUAUUUGUUGCCACAAUAUAACAUAGAGGUCUUAAUCUUUCAUCCCUAAUUUCUACAUAAAUCUUUCAAGCCACAGCAAUCCGCAGAGUACAUGCACCAUAGCUCUAUACUCAGCUUAUGCACUGGAUCUUUUAUUCCUAAUUUCUGCCUUCAUCAUUCAUGUGUUGUUGUUUGCUUUUUUCUGAGCCAAGUGACCAAGUUUCCACCCGCAAAAUUCUCAUCUUCAGCAAUCAAGUCAUCUAGCUCAAUCAGCAUCAAUAAAAGCCUUAAUUUAAAUGACCAGUGCUUGAGAACAGCGGCCCUCUACGGGAGGCUGGCAUUAAAUAACUCAAGAUAUAAGAGCCUCUAAGUGAGUUAAUUUGGAAUCAUACAACUAUUGCUUUACUACACUGACUGCAUAAGCUAUGUCAGGCAGGUGCCGCAUCUUGAACUCGGUCUUCCAGGUGCUGUCCUCCCGAAUCCGGAGCUAGUGAUAGCCAGACUUCAAGUCCAGCUUGGUGAAGUAGAAAGCAUGCUUCAACUGGUCCAGGAGAUCGUGAAUUCGUGGGAAAGGGUACCGGUUCUUGAUGGCAAUUUUGUUGAGGACGCAGUAGUCGAUACACAUUCAUCACCCGCUGUCUUUUUUUGGCACCAACACGAUUGGGGAACCACAGGGGAAGCUGCUUGUUUUGAUAGCACCACUCUCGAGCAGCAUUCUCCACUACAAAGUCUCGAUACAUGCCGAGGUUCAAUAAUGGAGCGUUGCUGAUCAAUUGUAUCUCAUUUUCCAUGGCCCACUUUGAUGGCAACCCCUGGACUUCUUGUGCUCGCCAAUCAGUUUGGCAACAUCGUCAAUCCUUUCCCUGCACGAAAGCGAAAAACUUAACAACUUGUUAUUUGCAUCUUUAGAUUCAACUGGUCGAUUGACCAGCAAGGCAAAAUUUUGGCAAACAUUGAUCAUUCUCUUAGCUUGGCGAGCCAUAGGUCUAUAGUUGCGGACAAUGCCUUUAUAGCGAACUAAAAUUUCCGCCCAUCCUUAACAAAUUGGUACUGCUGGAGACGACGAAAGGUGGCAUCGCUGUCCCAUGGGAAGGGACAACCAAAGAUAAGGUUGCAAAUGUUCAGUGACACAAUCUCGCACACUAUUUCGUCUAUGUAGAUAUUAGUCACCGCAGACUUCACCUUGCACUGGUGAUCGAUCUUCAUCUCGACGUCGCUGGUAAUCCACCCCAAUGGACAUGGAUAUGGGUGUGGGUGUGGGUGUGGGUGUGGAGUAGUCGACAAACCCAGCUUUUGAACUAGAUUCUCCAAGAUCAAGUUCCUUUGGCUGCCAAGAUCAAUAAUAGCAUCAAUCACCUCAUUCUGGACCUGAACUCGGAGAGCGAACAACUCCCUUUUGUCAGGUGGAUGUGACGGGCACAAGCUUGUCUUGUUCGGCAUGGUCAUCAAAGUCAAGCUUGUGUCCGCCUUAUCAAUCUGUCCAACCAAGGUAGGAUGUAGUGUUCUAAAGAAAUUAAAAUGUUAUUUUGAUGGAAUAAUUACAGAUCUUAAUUAAUCAACACUUCUGGACAAUGUCAGGGCAAGUCGGAAUUGGAUGCGAAAUUGACGUCACAAAUAAUUCCGAAUCGAAAUUUAUCCUUAGCUGGAACACAUUUGCUUGCUAGUUGCUAAUGCCUUAGGCACACCUCACCUAAUUCCAACCACCCUAAAUGGGAUUUUUGGACUGUAGUAAUCAGCAAAUUGCAUCAUUCCUUCAUUCCCUUCUUUCACUUCCUACUCUUUCUCUUCUUCUUCUUCUUCUCCCUCUACUCUCCCUCUCCUUGCUGCCUUGUUCCCUGCGGAGAGCUCCAGCAGCAAGGUGAGAAGCAGCAGCCGGAGCAGGGUGUGAAGCAGCAGCAGCCAAGCAUCUUCAAAAGUAGAAGAGAAGCAGCAGCAAAGUUAAGAACUACCUUACCAUCUUGUUCUUCUCCUCCUACUCUGUUGGCAGCUGAAGCAGCAGCCAACCGUAGCAGCUACUACUACAUACAACAACAACAGUUGCAGUUUCAGCAGCAAAAUCAGCACCAGCAGUAGAGUUCAAGAGAACACUAUCAAAGUUGUCCCACUCUCUCUUCUGCCCUGGCUGCGGAUCAGGAAAAGCAGCAGCAACAACAAGAAUUUCAGCAGCAGCAGAAUUUCAACAGCAGCGGCAGGUAUUAUUUUGUGAAAAUUGGUUUGUGUGGAGUUAAUUACUGUGAUCAGAAUGGUUUACGGUGUUUUAGGAACCUGGGAAUUAAGUGUUAUUAGUUGAUUUGAGGUGGGUGUCGCUGAAUUUUAGUUUCUUCAAACCAAAUCGGUUUUCGCUAGAUUUUUUCAUUGAUUAUUGAUUCGGCUUAAAUCCAGCAGGGAUUUGUUGGAUUCUUCUUCACUUCCCGAAAAUUUUGGAGCUGAGGGAGGGUGCUCAUGAAAUUUCACCUUGAUCCGAGGUCGGAUUAGAGCACUAGGUGGGUUUAAAUUUACCAAAUUCGCGAAAUUUUCACUAAAUUGCGAAAAUUUCAGCAUGUAUAUUAUGGUUGUUCAAUGUUAAAUUGUUUAGCUUCAAAUCUUUGGAUUGGCAUGAAUAAUAAUGAAAUAUGGACUUUGAGUAUGCUAAACAUAAUUAUAGAAGAAUUUAGAUGCUGAAUUUGGACUUGGAACAUGUACAAAAUCCGCACUAUACCGCCGUAGCUCCGUCAUUAGCAUUUAUUUUCGUUAACCGUUUUUACUCGUUUGUCACCCUUAUUAGAGGGUAGUGAGCAUGUGGAUUAGUGUAGGAUGGAUUAACGCUCAUGUUGAGGGACUGAGUGUGAUUGUUAUAGCAGUUGUUAGACUAAGCUCUAUAAUAGGGUGCCGUCUCAGUCGAUGGUAGUCCGAAUCCUCAGAUUUUGCAUCAGAUUAUGCCUGGGGCACAUGAGUCACCGUUUUAUAAUCUAAUUGAUCAUCCGCAUUCGACUUAACCUGCACGAGCCAGAUUCGAGCUCGAAAGAGACUACGCUUUUUACUCGAUUGGGUAGCCCCCAAGUGCCUCACCAGAGUGAGGCCUUUUCGCGUUGGUGUUGCAGCAGCCUUUCAGGCGACCUACCUUAGACCAGCCACCCUCGAGGGUGGUGCGUAGUAAUAGGUUGGCGCAGGCUUGAUCGGCCCUGGAGGCGGUCAUAUGGAUUGAGUUGGUGGUGUUUGCUCAAUAAAUAGUUGAUGCAUUUAUCAUAGCGACAGUUUUAUUUGAACGUUAGUAGUGUAGAUCCAUAGUAGCUAUAGAUUUCUUCCCAGCUCUACUACUUAUAGCUUUUUUACUUACCCAGCUUUUUCUUUUAGUUUUCACAGGCGUAGUGCGUAGACUGUCCGCGUUAGUGACGAUACCCAUUAAGGACUACUUGUUUAUCGUAGUUCUCACGCCCUUUGUUACUUUAUUUUCUUGCAGAGCCCUCCGUCCCUGUCGCUACUACUGAUCGAGGUAAGGGAGUUGCGAAUCAGAUCCCUGCCUGUCCUUGCUGGUUCAGCUAGAGUACCCGAGUUAGCUGAUUUUGGGGAGGGUAGGCCACUGUACAUAUAGUUAUAGUUGUAUUUUAUUUCAGCUUAUGUGAGAUGUAGUUGUAUCUGAUGGAUUUAGCUGUGUACAAUUUUGGAGCAUGUAUGUAUAGUGGAUUGCUUUUAGUUUUA